GUGCUGAAUGUGUUGUGGUGAAUCCAGGUGAGGUUGUACAGGACCAUAAUUGAGGAUGUGAUUGAAAACUCCAUUGAGUUUUUUUUGGAAGAAGGAGUCGAAAAGACUGUCUUGAGAGAUCUAAAAAAGCUCUGGGAGCUUAAGCUCCUGCAGUCGAAUGCAGUUGGCAGCUUUCCCGUCGACAGUCAACUUCUCCUGCUCAAGGCUCACGUGCACUUCCUGCAGAUCCCCUGUUCAACAAACAUCGUGGCCCAGAAUGGCAGGAACUUCC